GACGAACGCUGGCGGCGUGCUUAACACAUGCAAGUCGAACGGAAAGGCCCUGCUUUUGUGGGGUGCUCGAGUGGCGAACGGGUGAGUAACACGUGAGUAACCUGCCCUUGACUUUGGGAUAACUUCAGGAAACUGGGGCUAAUACCGGAUAGGAGCUCCUGCUGCAUGGUGGGGGUUGGAAAGUUUCGGCGGUUGGGGAUGGACUCGCGGCUUAUCAGCUUGUUGGUGGGGUAGCGGCUUACCAAGGCUUUGACGGGUAGCCGGCCUGAGAGGGUGACCGGCCACAUGGGGACUGAGAUACGGCCCAGACUCCUACGGGAGGCAGCAGUGGGGAAUAUUGCACAAUGGGCGGAAGCCUGAUGCAGCAACGCCGCGUGCGGGAUGACGGCCUUCGGGUUGUAAACCGCUUUCGCCUGUGACGAAGCGUGAGUGACGGUAAUGGGUAAAGAAGCACCGGCUAACUACGUG
rnacentral:rRNA from 1 species